rnacentral:rRNA from 1 species
GAUGAACGCUAGCGGCAGGCCUAAUACAUGCAAGUCGAACGGUGUCUUCGGACAUAGUGGCGCACGGGUGCGUAACACGUAUGCAACCUACCUUACAUUGGGGAUAGCCUUUCGAAAGGGAGAUUAAUACCGCAUAAGACAGUAGCUGGGCAUCCAGCAGCUGUUAAAGAUUUAUCGGUAAAAGAUGGGCAUGCGUCUGAUUAGCUAGUUGGCGGUGUAACGGACCACCAAGGCGACGAUCAGUAGGGGUUCUGAGAGGAAGGUCCCCCACACUGGCACUGAGAUACGGGCCAGACUCCUACGGGAGGCAGCAGUAGGGAAUAUUGGACAAUGGGCGCAAGCCUGAUCCAGCCAUGCCGCGUGCAGGAAGAAGCAUCUAUGGUGUGUAAACUGCUUUUGUACGGGAAGAAACACUCCUUCGUGAAGGAGCUUGACGGUACCGUAAGAAUAAGGAUCGGCUAACUCCGUG